GCCAGGUGUGGUGGCAGGUGCCUAUAGUCUCAGCUACUUGGGAGGUUGGGGCAGGAGGAUCACUAGAGCCCAGGAGUUCUGGCCUAUAGUGUGCUAUGCCCAUCGGGUAUCUGCACUAAGCUCAACAUUAUUAUGGUGACCUCCCGGGAGCAAGGAACCACCAGGUUGCCUAAGGAGGGGUGAACCGGCCCAUGUGGGAAACAGAGCAGGUCAAAACUCCCAUGAUGAUCAGUAGUGGGAUUGCACCUGUGAAUAGCCACUGUACUCCAGCCUGGGCAACAUAGUGAGACCCUGUCUCUA
ensembl:misc_RNA Metazoa_SRP Metazoan signal recognition particle RNA